AAGUCUCGACCCAUUCCGAGUCCGGCGGACGAACUUCGCCCGCGCCCCCCACCAAGGCUAUAGCCCACCCGUUUUUUGGCCAUUUUUCCGCGGGGGGGUUUUGGCACCACGACCUUCGGGCGCUUAUUUUUUGGUACGGCUUUGCCCGCGGCUUAUUUUUGGCAACCCGAGCCCCUCGCAAAGUCUCGCCCCAUUCCGAGUCCGGCGGACGAACUUCGCCCGCGCCCCCCACCAAGGCUAUAGCCCACCCGUUUUUUGGCCAUUUUUCCGCGGGGGGGUUUUGGCACCACGACCUUCGGGCGCUUAUUUUUGGGUGCGGCUUUGCCCGCGGCUUAUUUUUGGCACCCCGAGGCCCCUCGCAAAGUCUCGCCCCAUUCCGAGUCCGGCGGACGAACUUCGCCCGCGCCCCCCACCAAGGCUAUAGCCCACCCGUUUUUUGGCCAUUUUUCCGCUGGGGGGUUUUGGCACCACGACCUUCGGGCGCUUAUUAUUGGGCGCGGCUGUGCCCGCGACUUCCCGCGGGCACCCCGAGGCCCCUCGCAAAGUCUCGCCCCAUUCCGAGUCCGGCGGACGAACUUCGCCCGCGCCCCCCACCAAGGCUAUAGCCCACCCGUUUUUUGGCCAUUUUUCCGCUGGGGGGUUUUGGCACCACGACCUUCGGGUGCUUAUUUUUGGGCGCGGCUGUGCCCGCGACUUCCCGCGGGGACCCCGAGGCCCCUAGCAAAGUCUCGCCCCAUUCCGAGUCCGGCGGACGAACUUCGCCCGCGCCCCCCACCAAGGCUAUAGCGCACCCGUUUUUUGGCCAUUUUUCCGCUGGGGCGUUUGGCACCACGGCCUUCGGGUACUUAUUUUUGGGUGCGGCUGUGCCCGCGACUUCCCGCGGGCACCCCGAGGCCCCUCGCAAAGUCUCGCCCCAUUCCGAGUCCAGCGGAAGAACUUCGCCCGCGCCCCCCACCAAGGCUAUAGCCCACCCGUUUUUUGGCCAUUUUUCCGCGGGGGGGUUUUUGCACCACGACCUUCGGGGGCUUAUUUUUGGGCGUGGCUUUGCCCGCGGCUUAUUUUUGCCACCCCGAGGCCCCUCGUAAAGUCUUGCCCCAUUCCGAGUCCGGCGGACGAACUUCGCCCGCGCCCCCCACCAAGGCUAUAGCCCACCCGUUUUUUGGCCAUUUUUCCGCUGGGGAGUUUUGGCACCACGACCUUCGGGUGCUUAUUUUUGGGCGCGGCUGUGCCCGCGACUUCCUGCGGGCACCCUGAGGCCCCUCGCAAAGUCUCGCCCCAUUCCGAGUCCGGCGGACGAACUUCGCCCGCGCCCCCCACCAAGGCUAUAGCCCACCCGUUUUUUGGCCAUUUUUCCGCUGGGGGGUUUUGGCACCACGACCUUCGGGUGCUUAUUUUUGGGCGCAACUUUGCCCGCGGCUUAUUUUUGGUUCCCCGAGGCACCUCGCAAAGUCUCGCCCCAUUCCGAGUCCGGCGGACGAACUUCGCCCGCGCCCCCCACCAAGGCUAUAGCCCACCCGUUUUUUGGCCAUUUUUCCGCUGCGGGGUUUUGGCACCACGACCUUCGGGUGCUUAUUUUUGGGUGCGGCUUUGCCCGCGACUUCCCGCGGGGACCCUGAGGCCCCUCGCAAAGUCUCGCCCCAUUCCGAGUCCGGCGGACGAACUUCGCCCGCGCCCCCCACCAAGGCUAUAGCCCACCCGUUUUUUGGCCAUUUUUCCGCUGCGGGGUUUUGGCACCACGACCUUCGGGUGCUUAUUUUUGGGUGCGGCUAUGCCCGCGACUUCCCGCGGGCACCCCGAGCCCCUCGCAAUGUCUCGCCCCAUUCCGAGUCCGGCGGACGAACUUCGCCCGCGCCCCCCACCAAGGCUAUAGCCCACCCUUUUUUUGGCCAUUUUUCCACUGGGGGGUUUUGGCACCACGACCUUCGGGCGUUUAUUUUUGGGCGCGGCUGUGCCCGCGACUUCCCGCGGGCACCCCAAGGCCCCUCGCAAAGUCUCGACCCAUUCCGAGUCCGGCGGACGAACUUCGCCCGCGCCCCCCACCAAGGCUAUAGCCCACCCGUUUUUUGGCCAUUUUUCCGCGGGGGGGUUUUGGCACCACGACCUUCGGGCGCUUAUUUUUGGGUGCGGCUUUGCCCGCGGCUUAUUUUUGGCAACCCGAGCCCCUCGCAAAGUCUCGCCCCAUUCCGAGUCCGGCGGACGAACUUCGCCCGCGCCCCCCACCAAGGCUAUAGCCCACCCGUUUUUUGGCCAUUUUUCCGCGGGGGGGUUUUGGCACCACGACCUUCGGGCGCUUAUUUUUGGGUGCGGCUUUGCCCGCGGCUUAUUUUUGGCACCCCGAGGCCCCUCGCAAAGUCUCGCCCCAUUCCGAGUCCGGCGGACGAACUUCGCCCGCGCCCCCCACCAAGGCUAUAGCCCACCCGUUUUUUGGCCAUUUUUCCGCUGGGGGGUUUUGGCACCACGACCUUCGGGCGCUAAUUUUUGGGUGCGGCUGUGCCCGCGACUUCCCGCGGGCACCCCGAUGCCCCUCGCAAAGUCUCGCCCCAUUCCGAGUCCGGCGGACGAACUUCGCCCGCGCCCCCCACCAAGGCUAUAGCCCAGCCGUUUUUUGGCCAUUUUUCCGCUGGGGGGUUUUGGCACCACGACCUUCGGAAGCUUAUUUUUGGGCGCGGCUGUGCCCGCGACUUCCCGCGGGGACCCCGAGGCCCCUCGCAAAGUCUCGCCCCAUUCCGAGUCCGGCGGACGAACUUCGCCCGCGCCCCCCACCAGGGCUAUAGCCCACCCGUUUUUUGGCCAUUUUUCCGCUGGGGGGUUUUGGCACCACGACCUUCGUGCGCUUAUUUUUGGGUGCGGCUUUGCCCGUGGCUUAUUUUUGGCGCCCCGAGGCCCCUCGCAAAGUCUCGCCCCAUUCCGAGUCCGGCGGACGAACUUCGCCCGCGCCCCCCACCAAGGCUAUAGCCCACCCGUUUUUUGGCCAUUUUUCCGCUGGGGGGUUUUGGCACCACGACCUUCGGGCGAUUAUUUUUGGGCGCGGCUUUGCCCGCGGCUUAUUUUUGGCUCCCUGAGGCCCCUCGCAAAGUCUUGCCCCAUUCCGAGUCCGGCGGACGAACUUCGCCCGCGCCCCCCACCAAGGCUAUAGCCCACCCGUUUUUUGGCCAUUUUUCUGCUGGGGGGUUUUGGCACCACGACCUUCGGGCGCUUAUUUUUGGGCGCGGCUGUGCCCGCGACUUCCGGCGGGCACCCCAAGGACCCUCGCAAAGUCUCGACCCAUUCCGAGUCCGGCGGACGAACUUCGCCCGCGCCCCCCACCAAGGUUAUAGCCCACCCGUUUUUUGGCCAUUUUUCCGCUGGGGGUUUUGGCACCACGACCUUCGGGCACUUCUUUUUGGGCGCGGCUUUGCCCGCGGCUUAUUUUUGGUACCCCGAGGCCCUUCGCAAAGUCUCGCCACAUUCCGAGUCCGGCGGACGAACUUCGCCCGCGCCCCCCACCAAGGCUAUAGCCCACCCGUUUUUUGGCCAUUUUUCCGCUGGGGGGUUUUGGCACCACGACCUUCGGGCACUUAUUUUUGGGCGCGGCUUUGCCUGCGGCUUAUUUUUGGCACCCCGAGGCCCCUCGCAAAGUCUCGCCCCAUUCCGAGUCCGGCGGACGAAUUUCGCCCGCGCCCCCCACCAAGGCUAUAGCCCACCCGUUUUUUGGCCAUUUUUCCGUUGGGGGGAAUUGUCACCACGACCUUCGGGUGCUUAGUUUUGGGCCCGGCUGUGCCCGAAAAUUCCCGAGGGCACCCCGAGGCCCCUCGCAAAGUCCCGCCACAUUCCGAGUCCGGCGGACGAACUUCGCCCGCGCCCCCCACCAAGGCUAUAGCCCACCCGUUUUUUGGCCAUUUUUCCGCUGGGGGGUUUUGGCACCACGACCUUCGGGCGCUUAUUUUUGGGCGCGGCUGUGCCCGCGACUUCCCGCGGGCACCCCGAGGCCCCUCGCAAAGUCUCGCCCCAUUCCGAGUCCGGCGGACGAACUUCGCCCGCGCCCCCCAGCAAGGCUAUAGCCCACCCGUUUUUUGGCCAUUUUUCCGCUGGGGGGUUUUGGCACCACGACCUUCGGGCGCUUAUUUUUGGGCGCGGCUUUGCCCGCGGCUUAUUUUUGGUACCCCGAGGCCCUUCGCAAAGUCUCGCCCCAUUCCGAGUCCGGCGGACGAACUUCGCCCGCGCCCCACACCAAGGCUAUAGCCCACCCGUUUUUUGGCCAUUUUUCCGCUGGGGGGUUUUGUCACCACGACCUUCGGGUGCUUAGUUUUGGGCCCGGCUGUGCCCGCGACUUCCCGCGGGCACCCCGAGGCCCCUCGCAAAGUCCCGCCACAUUCCGAGUCCGGCGGACGAACUUCGCCCGCGGCUUAUUUUUGGCUCCCUGAGGCCCCUCGCAAAGUCUUGCCCCAUUCCGAGUCCGGCGGACGAACUUCGCCCGCGCCCCCCACCAAGGCUAUAGCCCACCCGUUUUUUGGCCAUUUUUCUGCUGGGGGGUUUUGGCACCACGACCUUCGGGCGCUUAUUUUUGGGCGCGGCUGUGCCCGCGACUUCCCGCGGGCACCCCAAGGACCCUCGCAAAGUCUCGACCCAUUCCGAGUCCGGCGGACGAACUUCGCCCGCGCCCCCCACCAAGGUUAUAGCCCACCCGUUUUUUGGCCAUUUUUCCGCUGGGGGUUUUGGCACCACGACCUUCGGGCACUUCUUUUUGGGCGCGGCUUUGCCCGCGGCUUAUUUUUGGUACCCCGAGGCCCUUCGCAAAGUCUCGCCACAUUCCGAGUCCGGCGGACGAACUUCGCCCGCGCCCCCCACCAAGGCUAUAGCCCACCCGUUUUUUGGCCAUUUUUCCGCUGGGGGGUUUUGGCACCACGACCUUCGGGCACUUAUUUUUGGGCGCGGCUUUGCCUGCGGCUUAUUUUUGGCACCCCGAGGCCCCUCGCAAAGUCUCGCCCCAUUCCGAGUCCGGCG
rnacentral:lncRNA from 1 species